rnacentral:tRNA from 1 species
ACUGCGGUAGCUCAGUUGGUAGAGCAUCUGUUCGGCGAGCGGAGUGUUGCCGAUUCAAUUCCGGACCGUAGUU